rnacentral:rRNA from 1 species
CUUAUGCGUUGUUGGGUAGGGGAGCGUUCUGUAAGCCUGUGAAGGUGUGCUGUGAGGCAUGCUGGAGGUAUCAGAAGUGCGAAUGCUGACAUAAGUAACGAUAAAGCGGGUGAAAAGCCCGCUCGCCGGAAGACCAAGGGUUCCUGUCCAACGUUAAUCGGGGCAGGGUGAGUCGACCCCUAAGGCGAGGCCGAAAGGCGUAGUCGAUGGGAAACAGGUUAAUAUUCCUGUACUUGGUGUUACUGCGAAGGGGGGACGGAGAAGGCUAUGUUGGCCGGGCGACGGUUGUCCCGGUUUAAGCGUGUAGGCUGGUUUUCCAGGCAAAUCCGGAAAAUCAAGGCUGAGGCGUGAUGACGAGGCACUACGGUGCUGAAGCAACAAAUGCCCUGCUUCCAGGAAAAGCCUCUAAGCAUCAGGUAACAUCAAAUCGUACCCCAAACCGACACAGGUGGUCAGGUAGAGAAUACCAAGGCGCUUGAGAGAACUCGGGUGAAGGAACUAGGCAAAAUGGUGCCGUAACUUCGGGAGAAGGCACGCUGAUAUGUAGGUGAAGUCCCUCGCGGAUGGAGCUGAAAUCAGUCGAAGAUACCAGCUGGCUGCAACUGUUUAUUAAAAACACAGCACUGUGCAAACACGAAAGUGGACGUAUACGGUGUGACGCCUGCCCGGUGC